GGAUUAGAUACCCUGGUAGUCCACGCCGUAAACGAUGAUAACUCGUUGCUGGUGAUACACAAUCAGUGACUGAGCGAAAGCAUUAAGUUAUCCACCUGGGGAGUACGAUCGCAAGGUUGAAACUCAAAGGAAUUGACGGGGGCCCGCACAAGCGGAGGAACAUGUGGUUUAAUUCGAUGAUACGCGAGGAACCUUACCUGGGCUUAAAUGUGCUCUGACCGGCUUAGAGAUAGGCUUUUCCUUCGGGACAGAGUACAAGGUGCUGCAUGGUUGUCGUCAGCUCGUGCCG
rnacentral:rRNA from 1 species